rnacentral:rRNA from 1 species
AGAGUUUGAUCCUGGCUCAGGAUGAACGCUGGCGGCGUGCCUAAUACAUGCAAGUCGAGCGAACGGACGAGAAGCUUGCUUCUCUGAUGUUAGCGGCGGACGGGUGAGUAACACGUGGAUAACCUACCUAUAAGACUGGGAUAACUUCGGGAAACCGGAGCUAAUACCGGAUAAUAUUUUGAACCGCAUGGUUCAAAAGUGAAAGACGGUCUUGCUGUCACUUAUAGAUGGAUCCGCGCUGCAUUAGCUAGUUGGUAAGGUAACGGCUUACCAAGGCAACGAUGCAUAGCCGACCUGAGAGGGUGAUCGGCCACACUGGAACUGAGACACGGUCCAGACUCCUACGGGAGGCAGCAGUAGGGAAUCUUCCGCAAUGGGCGAAAGCCUGACGGAGCAACGCCGCGUGAGUGAUGAAGGUCUUCGGAUCGUAAAACUCUGUUAUUAGGGAAGAACAUAUGUGUAAGUAACUGUGCACAUCUUGACGGUACCUAAUCAGAAAGCCACGGCUAACUACGUGCCAGCAGCCGCGGUAAUACGUAGGUGGCAAGCGUUAUCCGGAAUUAUUGGGCGUAAAGCGCGCGUAGGCGGUUUUUUAAGUCUGAUGUGAAAGCCCACGGCUCAACCGUGGAGGGUCAUUGGAAACUGGAAAACUUGAGUGCAGAAGAGGAAAGUGGAAUUCCAUGUGUAGCGGUGAAAUGCGCAGAGAUAUGGAGGAACACCAGUGGCGAAGGCGACUUUCUGGUCUGUAACUGACGCUGAUGUGCGAAAGCGUGGGGAUCAAACAGGAUUAGAUACCCUGGUAGUCCACGCCGUAAACGAUGAGUGCUAAGUGUUAGGGGGUUUCCGCCCCUUAGUGCUGCAGCUAACGCAUUAAGCACUCCGCCUGGGGAGUACGACCGCAAGGUUGAAACUCAAAGGAAUUGACGGGGACCCGCACAAGCGGUGGAGCAUGUGGUUUAAUUCGAAGCAACGCGAAGAACCUUACCAAAUCUUGACAUCCUUUGACAACUCUAGAGAUAGAGCCUUCCUCUUCGGGGGACAAAGUGACAGGUGGUGCAUGGUUGUCGUCAGCUCGUGUCGUGAGAUGUUGGGUUAAGUCCCGCAACGAGCGCAACCCUUAAGCUUAGUUGCCAUCAUUAAGUUGGGCACUCUAAGUUGACUGCCGGUGACAAACCGGAGGAAGGUGGGGAUGACGUCAAAUCAUCAUGCCCCUUAUGAUUUGGGCUACACACGUGCUACAAUGGACAAUACAAAGGGCAGCGAAACCGCGAGGUCAAGCAAAUCCCAUAAAGUUGUUCUCAGU